rnacentral:rRNA from 1 species
GACGAACGCUGGCGGCGUGCUUAACACAUGCAAGUCGAACGCUGAAGCUCAGCUUUUGUUGGGUGGAUGAGUGGCGAACGGGUGAGUAACACGUGAGUAACCUGCCUCCUUCUUUGGGAUAACGCCCGGAAACGGGUGCUAAUACUGGAUAUUCACUGGUCUUCGCAUGGGGGUUGGUGGAAAGGGUUUUUCUGGUGGGGGAUGGGCUCGCGGCCUAUCAGCUUGUUGGUGGGGUGAUGGCCUACCAAGGCUUUGACGGGUAGCCGGCCUGAGAGGGUGACCGGUCACAGUGGGACUGAGAUACGGCCCAGACUCCUACGGUAGGCAGCAGUGGGGAAUAUUGCACAAUGGGCGCAAGCCUGAUGCAGCGACGCCGCGUGAGGGAUGGAGGCCUUCGGGUUGUGAACCUCUUUCGCUCAUGGUCAAGCCGCAACAAUGGUUGUGGUGAGGGUAGUGGGUAAAGAAGCGCCGGCUAACUACGU